UGCCCAGUGAGGGUCCUUUCAACUCAGGCCU
rnacentral:piRNA from 1 species